UGCUGGGAAAUGCAAGCACAAUGAAGCACAUUGGAGUGUCUAUCAGCUUUCCCAGAAUCCUCUUCUCCAAGGGAAAACUGCAUUCCAAAGCAGUGUGCAAAUGAUUUGGUCAUUGUCUUCUCUUUAGGAUUUUCUUCUCUGUUGGAACCGGAAGGGAAUGGAGAUCCUAUGAACCAGUUAUUAUUCCUGCUCCCGGCUGAAGCCCCAGGAGGCAUUUCUUGGCCUGCGCUGAAAUCCUUGGGGCCCUGUAUAGAUCUCAGCACUUCCCAGAGCUUCCACUUCUCUGUCUACUGGAUGGUCUUCUUUCAUCAAAACUUACCUUUUACAAUGAUCCUCCGUUAGAAAAGGACAUUAGAAUUCCUUUUCUUUCUUGGUUCCUGGUUUAUUUGGGUAAACUACAGCCUAUGCUUUGUUGCCUGGAGAGCAAAGGGGAACGAGAGGAGAGGACUCUAUUUAACCAACCUCCAAGUGAGUUCUUGAGAAUUUCAGCUGAGCUGAUCCUUGGCCAUGUAGUCAAUUAUGAAUUUGACAGAAAUGUCUAAAUUGACACAGCUUUGAUUGCACAGACAAGAAAAAGUGUGAUAAUUCAGCAAAAGUCCAUGAUUGUGAGGAAGAAAUGGAAAUUGGGAUUUGAAGGAAUUCAUUCUCUUCAACAUCACGCUUUCAGAGGCCUCCCCUAACCGCCUGUAUAAAAUAGCACACUAUCGAUUUGCUCUACUUUAUUUUUACUAUGCCUUAUUUUUCUCCACAGCACUUGUCACCAUCUAAGAGGAGAUACAUUCUUUGGUUUGUAUACUAUCUAUUGUUCUCCUCGAGAAGGUAGACUUAGUGAGAGUUGGACCUCUGUUUUGGUUGCUACUACAUCCGUAACACCUAGAAUGGUGUCUGGCCCAUAGGAGACACUCUGGAAAUGCCUGUUGAAUGAAUGUACUUAAUUGUUUUUGAAGAAAUAUAUAAACACCUAGAGUAGCAACUCUGUUCUUUAUGAAUUGGAUUGUGAAAUGAUUGAAACAAAGGUUCUUUUGGCUCUUUGCAUUUCCUGGGUGCCGGAUGAUUAGGCUUUCAUCCGGCACCCAGGAAACCUUCAAAACCAACUUCAGUCUAAGUUUUCUCACACUCUGGUUUGUCUCAACAUGUGCAGUGCCCCAUGAUACCCACAACUUGACAUUUAGAUUAUUUCUUGCAAAUGGUUUAGAGCAGCAUCACACACCAUGGGGUGACAUGACUUCUCCCAGAGUAGAUGGAAUAUGGGAGAAACAGUCAGCAAAUGCUCUUUUGAUCAGUUUCAUGCUUCUCACUCCUUGAGAUGUACCACCACGUGCCCUGGAAUCAGUCACACAAAGGUUUGCUUCCCAUUUGUAGGCAUAAGGCCAGCCAAAGACAGGACCAGUGUUCACACAUGCCUCCCCUGGAAGACACUGCUUUAGGCUAAGUUAAGGGUUACACAUGCUUUGCCUGAAAAGCUGAAAACCAGGGUUUUACUCUCCAUGGUGACAUUCUCCCCAGAAAUGAACUGGUGAUGUUCAUUAAUCUGAAGCCUCAUUAAUGAGAUACAAAUAUAAAAUAUAGCUUCUCUACCAGUAACUGUCUUGUACCACUUGGACCUAAUUACAGAGAAUCUUGUUAAAAACAACUUGAAACCCUUAGAAAGCUAAAUAGUCAGAUAGUCAAUUAAAUAUAUUGCUAAGGUGUAAUGGAAAAAGUGAUGUGUUUCCUCCCAAUGUUGAACUAAUCUCACAUUCCUAUGCUUUGCUCACUACUGGCAACACCUUUUCUAAAAAUCAGUGUAUGUCUCUUCCCCUUCUGUUGAUCAAAUACCAUGUAUAGAAUCAUUUUCUCUCAAAUAGAACACAAAAAAACAAAUUGUGAAAGUAUUAUUUUCCAUAUUUCUCCCUUCAUUAUCUUACCUUUUCUCCUCCAACAUUGCAUAGAUGGCACCUUCCCUUUUUAAUUGAAACUGAUCGAUUGCAGCAUUUGCAGAAAUCGACAUAUCCUUUUGGAUUAACUUUUUCCCCCAUCACCCUCACCUAAGAUCUCUUAAUUUCUGAGCUCUUUAAGAAGCAGACCAUUACAAAAUAAAAAGGCCAAUGUCUUUGGUCUGGAUCAAAAUUUUUGUCCUAAGAAAAUAGGUUAUUUUGCCCAAAAUCAAUCACUCAAGUACUUUCAGAGUGCCCAGCACCAAGCUAGACGCUGCUGAGAUGCAGAGGAAGGUAUGAAGUGUGGCCCCUGCUUUCAGCCUAUUGUAAAGACUAUUAGUCACCCUUCCAGAGCUAAGCUGUGCAGGACUAAUAAUGCCAUUAGUUAAAAGCUCAUGGAACCAUGGAAGUGUGACCCAGAACAGACUUAAAAUAAUAAGGACACUAAAAAAAAAAUAAAGUAGUUCUUGUAAAUUGUAGUUAACAGUUGCCUGGUGCAUACUUAAAAACACCGAUAAGCAAAAAUUUUUAAAGCCUCAGUGAGGUUGUGUGGUUUUCAUCUUCCCCAUCAGCUCGGAUAUACAGGGAUCCCACAGAGGGUUGCAGAAGGAGCAGCCACAGAAAUAAACAGGAGCCUUUGCUAUCACAUGGCAAGCAAGUGUCGCAUCUCCUGAGCAUCCCAGGUAUCUGGGGCAGCCCCCUGACAAUGGAUGAAACGAUAUCACAUCCAGCCAGAAAACAACCCAGCAGAAACAGUGAGAUGACACAUAAACCCACAAGCUUGGCUCAUAAUGUGGAGCAGCAAUACAUGAGCAUACUGUACUUCUGCAGCCACUCUAGAGAAAGAAAAAGAGUAAAAUGUGUGAGAAAACACCAUUAAAUUACUCACUAUUAGCCCCUAAAGUGUGCUUCCAACCUAUGUGGACACACAUACACACAUGUACACACACACACUCUCACACACACACAUACAUGCAGGAGUAGAGAAUGUCACAGUUAAAUUUUUUACUAGUAUAAUGAGGAAAGGGACCAACUGAAGAAGCUCCCUGGGCUAAUUUUCUAGCCAGCAGCCACUGCAAUGUUCCCACUAGGAGAGUGAGAAGGAGGGAGAGCAAAGUAUAAUAAAUAAUGACUGGCUUUGCUGGUCAGGAGAAAUUAUCACUAUGCUUGAGGGAUCUAAGCAUAUGUUCACCCAGGAAUAUAUCAGGGGUGAAAACUGAGGCGAGGGAGAAAUGAAAGCCCAGAAUGGGUUGGACAUAUCUCCAGGACAUAUUUAUUUAAAUUUUUAAAAACGAAAAAACAAAUAGCAUCACCCAAAGUUACAUAUUGCUAAACCUAAAAAUGGCCAGUCACCCUUCUUCCCCUAAAUUUAAAUUGCUUUUUAACUUGUAGUUUUUUAUGGCUUUGUAGGGGGAAGUCUAGCUAUUUUACAUUUCUUGUAGACAUUUGCUCCAGUCUACUAUAUUUAUUUUGUGUCAGCUUUGUGUGUUAGCAGAGCAAAAGGCUCAGAAUGCUUACUCUGUGCUCACCUUCGGAGAUCUGCUCUAUAUAGUAGGAAAAUAGGACCUAGAAAAUUCAGGGAUAUGCAGAGGCAAAAUAUUACCCAGAUCAGGAAAGUCAGUGUUGCCCAUGUUUCAGAGCUAAAAUUUACUUUGAUGUGUCAUAAACAAAUAAGUCAGGAUCAAACCAGGGUGGGUUUGAAUGAUUACAGGAUAAACAGAAAGGCUAGGCCUUAUUCAUCUUUUAUGGCUUUUCUAAAAAAUUAAGGAAACAAAAUCUAUAUGUUGAAGGCUUUUCACUUAAUUGAUAGUCUGUGCCCAGUGUGUGAGCAUGUCUCUUACAUAUAAAGAAACUCAGACAGACUGGCAAUAUAUUCCUCAAUAAGCAGCAGAGUAACAGAGUCUGGUAUCUUCCUUCCUGAAACAACAAUGAUGACAAAAACACAAGAAACAAACAAUAACAGAAACCAAAAACAAGAAAAAGAAAAAAGACAAGACAUUGGACAUCAAACAAUGAAGAAAGUCAUACCUAAGAGAUGUGAAACAAAUGAAACAAGCCCUGUAAUUGACCCAAUAACAGGUUGGAGAGGAUUUUCUGGCUACAGUGCAGAGAGAGGGAGAGAACCUCAGGUGGAGCUUGAUGGCCUCCCCACGUUGACAAUACAAGGCUGGGAGUCUAAGGAGGCCAAGAGAGCUAUUGCUUACAGGGAAGAGUAACAUAGAGAAGUGAGCUGCACAGAAAGAAAGCCCAGGAGAUCUUUAGACCAAGAUCUCUCUUGAUUAUUUGGUUGAGUAAUAAGGAAUGCAUGCAUGUAAGGAAACCACCCAAAGCUACAGAAAGAGUCACCUCUUAAAAGGAAUAAUAUCUGUAGCUCAUAUACAGGCAGGAAUGAAGCCUGUUGCCAACAACCAUAAUGGAAAACUUCAUUAUUUGGGGCACUGGAUAGAGCAAUCCGAAUAAUUUUGCAACAAUAAUGGGAGAAAAAAAUUAACACUAGAUUGAGUCUAUCUAACAGAGCUUAAAAGCAAGACAUGAUAGGGUCAAACUAUCUCCAAGUAACUUAGUCACAUCAAAAAAAAGUUCAAGAAGAUUUAUAGGAGUACAAAAAUGUUCAGAACCCAAAAGAGUAAAAUUGACAAUGUCUGGCAUCCAAUCAAAAGUUACUAGACAUGUAAAAAAAAAAAAAAAAAAGGCACACAAUGAGAAGAAUAUGCAGUGAAUCAAAACUGUCCUAGAAAUGACAAUAUGAAAAAAUUAAUAGUCAGAACAUUAAAAUAAUUAUUAUAUCUAUGUUCAUAUAUAUAUACAUUCAUGAAGCCGAGAAAUGAUUGAACAUAAUAAGUACAGUUGUGAGGGAUACAGAAAGUUUCAUCUCAAACUUUCAGAGAUUAAAACUACCAUGUCUAAGAUUUUAAAAAAACAACCUGGAUGGGAUUAACAAUGAAUCCGAUGCUGCAAAUGAUUAAGGAACUUGAAUGCACAGCAACAGAAAAUACCAAAAAAUGAAACACAGAGAGAAAAGAAACUGAAGAAUAUAAAAUAAGCAGAGCAUCAGGGAGCUGUGGUACACCUUUAAAGUCACAGUAUUCAUUUUAUUAGGGUCUCUAAAGGAGAGGAGAAGCAGCAGGAACAGAACAAAUAAUUGAAGAUGAAGUAGUCAAAAAUCUUCCAAAUUUGAUGAAAACUAUAAACUCACAGUUCCAAGAAGUUCAGUGAAUCAGAAGCACAAGAAACAUGAAGAAACCACUUAAGGGCAUAUCAUAAUCAUAAUCAAAUUGCUUAAAACUAAUGAUACAGAGAAGAACUUCAAAGUAACGAGAAAAAGUACAGUAGGUAUGAAGAAAUAAAGAGAACAAUGACAGAACAUUUCUUAUCAGAAACAACUCAAAACAGAAGACAGUAGAAGAACAUCUUUAAAGCAUUGAAAGAAAAACUCUAAACCUAGAAGUCUUUACUUGCUAAAAAUAUCUUUCAAAAAUGAAUGUGGAAGAAAAAGUUUUUGAGGUAUAUAAAAGCUAACAGAAUUCAUCAAGUUUUCCAGGUAGAACAAAAAUGAUGCCAGAUGAAAAUUUCUAUCUAAACAAAAGAAUGAUGAGCAUCAAAAAAUGGUAACUAUGUGGGUAAAUACAAAUAGUUUCAUUACUUAAAUCUCCUUCAAACAGAAUCAACUCUUUAAAGCAAAAAUAAAACAAUCUAUUGUGUGAUGAAUAGCAUAUUGCUAUGGUUUCAAUAUUUGUACUCUCCAAAACUCUUGUUGAAAUUUAAUUGCCAUUGUAAUAGUAUUAUGAGGUGGGACAGUUAAGAGGUGAUUAGACCAUGAGGACUCCACCCUCACAGAUGGAUUAAUGUUGUUAUCUUGGGAGUGAGUUCACUAUAAAAGGGCACAUUUAGGCCCCUUUUUGCUCUUUCGCUCUUUUGCCUUUUGACAUGUGAUGAUCAAUAAGAAAGCCCUUACCAUGUGAUGCUGGCACCUUGAUAUUGGACUUCCCAGCCUCCAGAACUGUGAGCCAUUACAUUUCUAUUCAUUGUAAAUUACCUAGGCUCAGGUAUUCUGUUAUAGUGGCAGAAACAGACUAAGACACAUAAAUAGAAAUAAAAUGUGUAAUAACAAUAGCAAAAACCCCAAUUACCUUUGCACCAACCUAAUAACCUGUCCAGGAUUGAGUCUUUCAUACUUAAUGGUAACUGACCAGUCUAUCCAUGUAUUUUCCAAGGUGUGACCUGCAGAUCACUAGCUAUUUUAAAUUUUCCUUGAAAAGAGGAACUAUAUGGUCAAACAUAUUUAAGAAAUGCUAUGAACUACUUUCUCCUCUUACUGAAUUUCACUGAGUAAAAAAAUAUUAAGGACUCUGAGAAGUCUUGUAUUAGAGAAAGAUGUCUGUGUGCAAUCUAGCAGUUCCUAAAUUAUUUGUCUGAAGCAAAUAAUAUUGUGCUAUUCCACAGGAUAAAUGUGUGUGAACUUUUUCUAUUUAAUCAAUCUACAGAAGCAAAGCUUUUUACUUUAUAGUCAAAAGAUUAUCUCACAAUAAUGAUGGUCAUUAUGGUGGCUUCCUUCUCUUCCCCCAACCCCCACUGCCUGGUUUAUUGAAGUAAAAUUGACUUACAAUAAGCUGUACAUAUUUAAAGUGUGCAAUUCGAUAAGGUUUGAUUUAUGUAUAUACACCCAUGAAACUGUCAUCAGAAUUAAGAUAUUGAAAAUAUCUAUCAUCCCUAAGUUUUGUUACGGUCCUUUGUAAUCCCUCUCUCCUAGAUAAUCUUGAAUACAAAGCAAUAAGAGCAGACAACAUUGUCCACUCUUUUUUGAGGGUUGGACCCUCAAACUUUAAUGUGCAUGUGACUCACCCAGGAUUCUUGUUCAAAUGCAGACUCAGAUUCAGUAAGUCUGUGGGUAGGGUCUGAGUGUCUACAUUUCUAACAAGCUCUCCAGUGAUGCUCCAGUGGUACUAAUGGUGCUCACACAUCAAAACCAGCACCAAGUUCAGUAUUCACAUAUAAAUUGCUGCCUUGGAAACAGUUUCCACUUUAAAAAUAUUUAAAAACAAUAUUAAGUUUGUCCUAGUUAUUACUCAUGGAAAAUACCAUAGAUAGAGUUAGAUAAAAAUCAGUCUAACAAUAACACAACUCCUUCCAAAGCCCAUGAGGAAACUAAAUAUCCUACUAAUAAAGGGCAUGAAAAAUCUUAGAAGAGAAAUGUUGCAAGUAAUUUCUUCAUCUUAUAUCUUAAAAUGAAUAUUGAAGACAAGCUCUUUUAAUUAUUCACAAGAAAUCUUCCACAAUGGAAUAGUGAGAAAAUAUCUGACAAAUAUCAUCAUCAUCAUCAUCAUCAUCAAAUUGCUGUAUCAUACCUUGUGUUUAAAACUAUCUUCCUAAUUUAAUAAAACUUGCUUAACUUUGGUCAAAAUACCUUAUCUAUGCUUAAAUUACACAAAACUCCUAAACAUUAUUUUCUUUAAUUGCACAAUUUGUCUGCAUAGCAAAAAAGCUUAAAAGGCAAUACCAGAAUGGAAUUGGUUUGGUCAUAAUCAAUAGCAUCUUAAUGGAGGAUUUAAGUACUAUAAUUCCCCUGAAUGUAGAAGAAAACCUGGUAUGAAAUAAAAACCCUUUGAAGAGCUAUUUUGCAUGGCAUAAAGAGUUCUCACCAACAACCUUAUCUGAAUGUAUUAGAUAAUUUUGGACUUUUAAUGUUGAUUUCUACUAGGUAGAUUACAUUUGCAUGAAUUUAUAAUGAAAAUACCUCUAGGCCUAAGUCUUCCUAUUCAUAAAUGCAUGGCCUGGAUCCUGUAAGUGCCAGUUUACUGGGUCACUAGCAUAGCACUCUCAGCAUCAAGAUCUUUCUCCAUUUUAAGCCUUUCAGUAACCAGUGUGCUCUGCUCUCCCUGCUGUGCCAUCAAUAGGAGGAGAGACAGGGCAGCUUUGCAGAACACAGACUAUGCCCUACCUGCAACAGAAACAAAACAUGAUCUGAGCUAGCACUAACAAUGUCCAGAGUUACCAUCAUCUAAGGAAAAGUUUCAUACAAUAAAAAUGACUGCAUAAAAUUUCAC
rnacentral:lncRNA from 10 species